rnacentral:rRNA from 1 species
UACGUAGGGGGCGAGCGUUGUCCGGAUUUAUUGGGCGUAAAGAGCGUGUAGGCGGCCUGGCAGGUCUGCUGUGAAAACUCGAGGCUCAACCUCGAGAUGUCGGCGGAAACCGUCUGGCUAGAGUCCGGAAGAGGAGAGUGGAAUUCCUGGUGUAGCGGUGAAAUGCGCAGAUAUCAGGAAGAACACCUAUGGCGAAGGCAGCUCUCUGGGACGGUACUGACGCUGAGACGCGAAAGCGUGGGGAGCAAACAGG